rnacentral:rRNA from 1 species
UUAAGCGACUAAGCGUACACGGUGGAUGCCCUGGCAGUCAGAGGCGAUGAAGGACGUGCUAAUCUGCGAUAAGCGUCGGUGAGGUGAUAUGAACCGUUAUAACCGGCGAUUUCCGAAUGGGGAAACCCAGUGUGAUUCGUCACACUAUCAUUAACUGAAUCCAUAGGUUAAUGAGGCGAACCGGGGGAACUGAAACAUCUAAGUACCCCGAGGAAAAGAAAUCAACCGAGAUUCCCCCAGUAGCGGCGAGCGAACGGGGAGGAGCCCAGAGCCUGAAUCAGUGUGUGUGUUAGUGGAAGCGUCUGGAAAGGCGUGCGAUACAGGGUGACAGCCCCGUACACAAAAAUGCACAUACUGUGAGCUCGAUGAGUAGGGCGGGACACGUGGUAUCCUGUCUGAAUAUGGGGGGACCAUCCUCCAAGGCUAAAUACUCCUGACUGACCGAUAGUGAACCAGUACCGUGAGGGAAAGGCGAAAAGAACCCCGGCGAGGGGAGUGAAAAAGAACCUGAAACCGUGUACGUACAAGCAGUGGGAGCCUCUUAAUGGGGUGACUGCGUACCUUUUGUAUAAUGGGUCAGCGACUUAUAUUCUGUAGCAAGGUUAACCGAAUAGGGGAGCCGAAGGGAAACCGAGUCUUAACUGGGCGUUAAGUUGCAGGGUAUAGACCCGAAACCCGGUGAUCUAGCCAUGGGCAGGUUGAAGGUUGGGUAACACUAACUGGAGGACCGAACCGACUAAUGUUGAAAAAUUAGCGGAUGACUUGUGGCUGGGGGUGAAAGGCCAAUCAAACCGGGAGAUAGCUGGUUCUCCCCGAAAGCUAUUUAGGUAGCGCCUCGUGAAUUCAUCUCCGGGGGUAGAGCACUGUUUCGGCAAGGGGGUCAUCCCGACUUACCAACCCGAUGCAAACUGCGAAUACCGGAGAAUGUUAUCACGGGAGACACACGGCGGGUGCUAACGUCCGUCGUGAAGAGGGAAACAACCCAGACCGCCAGCUAAGGUCCCAAAGUCAUGGUUAAGUGGGAAACGAUGUGGGAAGGCCCAGACAGCCAGGAUGUUGGCUUAGAAGCAGCCAUCAUUUAAAGAAAGCGUAAUAGCUCACUGGUCGAGUCGGCCUGCGCGGAAGAUGUAACGGGGCUAAACCAUGCACCGAAGCUGCGGCAGCGACACUAUGUGUUGUUGGGUAGGGGAGCGUUCUGUAAGCCUGUGAAGGUGUACUGUGAGGUAUGCUGGAGGUAUCAGAAGUGCGAAUGCUGACAUAAGUAACGAUAAAGCGGGUGAAAAGCCCGCUCGCCGGAAGACCAAGGGUUCCUGUCCAACGUUAAUCGGGGCAGGGUGAGUCGACCCCUAAGGCGAGGCCGAAAGGCGUAGUCGAUGGGAAACAGGUUAAUAUUCCUGUACUUGGUGUUACUGCGAAGGGGGGACGGAGAAGGCUAUGUUGGCCGGGCGACGGUUGUCCCGGUUUAAGCGUGUAGGCUGGUUUUCCAGGCAAAUCCGGAAAAUCAAGGCUGAGGCGUGAUGACGAGGCACUACGGUGCUGAAGCAACAAAUGCCCUGCUUCCAGGAAAAGCCUCUAAGCAUCAGGUAACAUCAAAUCGUACCCCAAACCGACACAGGUGGUCAGGUAGAGAAUACCAAGGCGCUUGAGAGAACUCGGGUGAAGGAACUAGGCAAAAUGGUGCCGUAACUUCGGGAGAAGGCACGCUGAUAUGUAGGUGAAGUCCCUCGCGGAUGGAGCUGAAAUCAGUCGAAGAUACCAGCUGGCUGCAACUGUUUAUUAAAAACACAGCACUGUGCAAACACGAAAGUGGACGUAUACGGUGUGACGCCUGCCCGGUGCCGGAAGGUUAAUUGAUGGGGUUAGCGGUAACGCGAAGCUCUUGAUCGAAGCCCCGGUAAACGGCGGCCGUAACUAUAACGGUCCUAAGGUAGCGAAAUUCCUUGUCGGGUAAGUUCCGACCUGCACGAAUGGCGUAAUGAUGGCCAGGCUGUCUCCACCCGAGACUCAGUGAAAUUGAACUCGCUGUGAAGAUGCAGUGUACCCGCGGCAAGACGGAAAGACCCCGUGAACCUUUACUAUAGCUUGACACUGAACAUUGAGCCUUGAUGUGUAGGAUAGGUGGGAGGCUUUGAAGUGUGGACGCCAGUCUGCAUGGAGCCGGCCUUGAAAUACCACCCUUUAAUGUUUGAUGUUCUAACGUUGGCCCCUGAUCGGGGUUGCGGACAGUGUCUGGUGGGUAGUUUGACUGGGGCGGUCUCCUCCUAAAGAGUAACGGAGGAGCACGAAGGUUGGCUAAUCCUGGUCGGACAUCAGGAGGUUAGUGCAAUGGCAUAAGCCAGCUUGACUGCGAGCGUGACGGCGCGAGCAGGUGCGAAAGCAGGUCAUAGUGAUCCGGUGGUUCUGAAUGGAAGGGCCAUCGCUCAACGGAUAAAAGGUACUCCGGGGAUAACAGGCUGAUACCGCCCAAGAGUUCAUAUCGACGGCGGUGUUUGGCACCUCGAUGUCGGCUCAUCACAUCCUGGGGCUGAAGUAGGUCCCAAGGGUAUGGCUGUUCGCCAUUUAAAGUGGUACGCGAGCUGGGUUUAGAACGUCGUGAGACAGUUCGGUCCCUAUCUGCCGUGGGCGCUGGAGAACUGAGGGGGGCUGCUCCUAGUACGAGAGGACCGGAGUGGACGCAUCACUGGUGUUCGGGUUGUCAUGCCAAUGGCACUGCCCGGUAGCUAAAUGCGGAAGAGAUAAGUGCUGAAAGCAUCUAAGCACGAAACUUGCCCCGAGAUGAGUUCUCCCUGACUCCUUGAGAGUCCUGAAGGAACGUUGAAGACGACGACGUUGAUAGGCCGGGUGUGUAAGCGCAGCGAUGCGUUGAGCUAACCGGUACUAAUGAACCGUGAGGCUUAACCUU